AAUAGAUACCCAGGUAGUCCAUGCCGUAAACGAUGUCUACUAGCCGUUGGGGCCUUUGAGGCUUUAGUGGCGCAGCUAACGCGAUAAGUAGACCGCCUGGGGAGUACGGUCGCAAGACUAAAACUCAAAUGAAUUGACGGGGGCCCGCACAAGCGGUGGAGCAUGUGGUUUAAUUCGAUGCAACGCGAAGAACCUUACCUGGUCUUGACAUAGUAAGAACUUUCCAGAGAUGGAUUGGUGCCUUCGGGAACUUACAUACAGGUGCUGCAUGGCUGUCGUCAGCUCGUGUCGUGAGAUGUUGGGUUAAGUCCCGCAACGAGCGCAACCCUUUUCCUAUUUGCCAGCACUUCGGUGGAACUUUAAGGAUACUGCCAGUGACAAACUGGAGAAGCGGGACGACGUCAAGUCAUCAUGGCCCUUACGACCAGGGCUACACACGUGCUACAAUGGUCGGUACAAAGGGUUGCUACCUAGCGAUAGGAUGCUAAUCUCAAAAAGCCGAUCGUAGUCCGGAUUGGAGUCUGC
rnacentral:rRNA from 1 species